UGCGUAGGUAGUUUUGCAUGUCAGAUGUGAAAGCUCAUCGCUCAACGAUGAAAGUGCAUUUGAAACUGCAGGACUGGAGUACGGGGGAGGAGAGUGGAAUUCUUGGUGUAGCGGUGAAAUGCGUAGAUAUCAAGAAGAACACCGGUGGCGAAGGCGACUCUCUAUCCCGAUACUGACGCUGAGGCACUAAAGCUGGGGGGAGCAAACA
rnacentral:rRNA from 1 species